rnacentral:rRNA from 1 species
UACGUAGGGUGCAAGCGUUACUCGGAAUUACUGGGCGUAAAGCGUGCGCAGGCGGUUUUGUAAGUCUGUCGUGAAAGCCCCGGGCUCAAACUGGGAAUUGCGUUGGAGACUGCAAGGCUUGAAUCUGGCAGAGGGGGGUAGAAUUCCACGUGUAGCAGUGAAAUGCGUAGAGAUGUGGAGGAACACCGAUGGCGAAGGCAGCCCCCUGGGUCAAGAUUGACGCUCAUGCACGAAAGCGUGGGGAGCAAACAGG